UAAUUGGAAGAGAAGAAAAGAUAACAAAAAGGCACAAAUUCACAGUAAAAGAAACAGAAACGAGGGAGUGAGAGGGGGAGAGAGAGAGGGGGGAAGAGAGAAAGAGAGAGAGGGAUAGAGGGAGAGAGAGAGAUAAGACAAAAACAUCAAUACUCUGGGGUUCUGAACUCAUUAUCAAUACUCUGGGGUUCUGAACUCAUUAUCAACAGUCUGGGGUUCUGGACUCAUUAUCAAUACUCUGGGGUUCUGAACUCAUUAUCAAUACUCUGGGGUUCUGGACUCAUUAUCAAUACUCUGGGGUUCUGGACUCAUUAUCAAUACUCUGGGGUUCUGGACUCAUUAUCAAUACUCUGGGGUUCUGAACUCAUUAUCAAUACUCUGG
rnacentral:lncRNA from 1 species